AACUCCAGCAUGAAUAAGUCAAACAGAGGAGAAGCAUCCAGCAAAAGAUCAAGAAAGAGCCACAAGUAAGGCAGAAGGGAAAUCAGUUGAGUGUUCUGUUACUAGAGUUCAAGAUGACAGAGCUGUGGAGUGUCACAAAUCCUGUUGAAGGGGAUUCCCUCCUGUACAAGCAUCCUAUUUUCUGCAAGGAUUUGUUCGGCAGGUAGCAUGAUACAAUGAAGCCCAGAAAUUCAUUAUUCAAUGUUCUCUUCCUCCGUCUGUACCACAUAUUUCCCAUGACCUCCAUCCAAAAAGAAAUAGACAAAAAUUUUGCUUGCUUCCUGAUGCCUGGUAGGCUCAGAGCCGUCUAGAGUGUAAUAAUGGCUCCCCAAACACCCUAAUCCCCAAAACCUGUGAAUACUGUGAAUGUAUUACCUUUCAUGGCAAAAGGGACCUUGCAGUUCUGAUGAAGACUCCUGAUGCCUCAGCCUGGAAAUCAAAGACCUAUAUAACCUGGCUCCAAAUGUGCUUUACAAACAAUUGCAACAAGUCACCUCCUGGGUCAUUCUUCUCGAAACAAACAAACAAACAAACAAACAUUCAUUCUUGCUCGUUCCUGUUCCUGAAAGAUUGUCUCCUCUUUCUUGCUUAUUUAAAUUUCAUACUGACUUGAAUAUCCAAAUACAAUCUUACUUAAUCUGU